rnacentral:tRNA from 1 species
GGAUUGUGGCUCAGUGGCAGAGCGCUUGCUUAGCACAUGCAGGGCCCUGGGUUCCAUCCUCAGCACCA